rnacentral:rRNA from 1 species
AUGAACGCUGGGCGGCAGGCUUAACACAUGCAGUCGAGCGGGCGAGGUUGCUUCGGUAACUGAGCUAGCGGCGGACGGGUGAGUAAUGCUUAGGAAUCUGCCUAUUAGUGGGGGACAACAUUCCGAAAGGGAUGCUAAUACCGCAUACGUCCUACGGGAGAAAGCAGGGGCUCUUUAUGACCUUGCGCUAAUAGAUGAGCCUAAGUCGGAUUAGCUAGUUGGUGGGGUAAAGGCCUACCAAGGCGACGAUCUGUAGCGGGUCUGAGAGGAUGAUCCGCCACACUGGGACUGAGACACGGCCCAAACUCCUACGGGAGGCAGCAGUGGGGAAUAUUGGACAAUGGGGGGAACCCUGAUCCAGCCAUGCCGCGUGUGUGAAGAAGGCCUUUUGGUUGUAAAGCACUUUAAGUGGGGAGGAGGCUUACCUGGUUAAUACCUGGGCUAAGUGGACGUUACCCACAGAAUAAGCACCGGCUAACUCUGUGCCAGCAGCCGCGGUAAUACAGAGGGUGCGAGCGUUAAUCGGAUUUACUGGGCGUAAAGCGCGCGUAGGUGGUUAAUUAAGUCAAAUGUGAAAUCCCCGAGCUUAACUUGGGAUUUGCAUUCAAUACUGGUUAGCUAGAGUAUGGGAAGAGGAUGGUAAAU